CUGGAUUUCCCUAGGCUCCCUUCCUAGGACUUGGAGGUCGGCUCGCCAGCAGCAGAUAGCUUGAACCCAGAGCAGAGACAACUGAAAAAGUUUCAGAAAUGGUUAGCAUGUAAGACAUCAAACUGAAAUGGGAGACACACCUUGAAUGUGGGUGGCACCACCUAGGAGAUGGUGGCCCAGGUGCAAGAGAAGCAGAAGAUGGAGGAAGCCUGCUGGCUGGCACUGCAUACAUUCUCUGCUUCCCAGCUGCCAUGAGAUUGAACCCAGGUCCUCACGCGUGCUCGGCAAGUGCUCUACCUCCAGCAUUGACUGAGUAUUUUUACUGCAUCUAGAGGCCACAUCAAGUGAA